GGCCUACGGGAGGCAGCAGUGAGGAAUAUUGGUCAAUGGGCGAGAGCCUGAACCAGCCAAGUCGCGUGAGGGAGUACUGCCCUAUGGGUUGUAGACCUCUUUUGUCGGGGAGCAAAAGCCGGACGUGUCCGGCUGUGAGAGUACCCGAAGAAAAAGCAUCGGCUAACUCCGUGCCAGCAGCCGCGGUAAUACGGAGGAUGCGAGCGUUAUCCGGAUUUACUGGGUGUAAAGGGAGCGUAGACGGUUCUGCAAGUCUGAAGUGAAAGCCCGUGGCUUAACCGCGGAACGGCUUUGGAAACUGUGGA
rnacentral:rRNA from 1 species